CCUACGGGGGGCUGCAGUGAGGGAUAUUGCACAAUGGGCGAAAGCCUGAUGCAGCGACGCCGCGUGAGGGAAGACGGUCCUCUGGAUUGUAAACCUCUGUCCUCAGGGACGAAAAUGACGGUACCUGAGGAGGAAGCUCCGGCUAACUACGUGCCAGCAGCCGCGGUAAUACGUAGGGAGCGAGCGUUGUCCGGAAUUACUGGGUGUAAAGGGAGCGUAGGCGGGAUGGUAAGUCUGUUGUGAAAUCUAUCGGCUCAACCGGUAGCUGCGGCAGAAACUGCGAUUCUUGAGUGAAGUAGAGGCAGGCGGAAUUCCUAGUGUAGCGGUGAAAUGCGUAGAUAUUAGGAGGAACACCAGUGGCGAAGGCGGCCUGCUGGGCUUUUACUGACGCUGAGGCUCGAAAGUGUGGGGAGCAAACAGGAUUAGAUACCCCGGUAGUC
rnacentral:rRNA from 1 species